rnacentral:tRNA from 4 species
GGGGAAGUGGCGGAAUGGCAGACGCGCAUGCUUCAGGUGCAUGUACUCGUUAGGGUGUGGGGGUUCAAAUCCCCUCUUCCCCA